ACGGGGGCCCCGUGAAGCUAAGUUACAUGUUUCAGCCCCCGGGUGGUGGGACUUGGGCUUCAGACAAGGCUCACAAGUGAAAAACAGGCUGAAGUAUCACACUGAAAUGUAAGUACAGUAUUUAUAUUCCAAUCAAUCUAUUUUAUAAUUAUAUGGGGAAAAUGAGAAAGUAAUCCAUUUUUCAGUUAUAAUAUGGUAUGACACUUUUGUAUUUUUAUGUCUGAUAUUGUAAGGAAGUAGUUUAAGUGAGGUAAAACUUGAGCUAUGGGAGACCAAUCAGACUCCUGAACAAGGUACAGUAGCCUGGAAAGGUUGAGAACCACUGAUCUAAACAUCAGGCUUGAGGUGUAUAAACACCAUCAGACCAAAGUUUCUUAUCUUGGUGCCCUUUCUCCUUCCUCAGUGGAGAAAAUGAGUUCCAUGCGGCUCACUGCGAGGGAGGUUUCUCUCCAGAGGUUUCUCUCCAGAGGUAUCUCAAAAACAAAAAGAGCCUCUGUGGAACAUCAAGGACCAAUGGUCUUUUCUGGAUGAGUGUACUUAGUCAUAUUAACCGUCUCUCUUUCUCCCUCUGUUUUGGUGCUCUGGUUGCCUUUUUACUUGAUGGUCUCCUCCUUGAGGUGACAGCAAUUCAGCACUGUGUAAAAUGGUUCCUGUAUCUGUUGUGAAAUUCUUUAGAAUCUGUUAAUAUAAACCUGACUUAUUAAUUCCCAUGCACAAAGGUGAAACAUCAGUUAAAAUAACAUGUAGCAAGAGAUUCUAAAAUAAAGAUAGCACUGAAAAAGCCUUUUGUUUAAUAAAUGCUUGAGGUUUUUAUUUAACUAUGCAAAAUGACCUUUGUUUAUACUUUAGAAGAAGAAAGAUGGUGGAUAGUGCACUGGCCAAGUUCAAUUCUCUUCUCUGCCUUUAACUUCCUGUAUGUGACCUUUGGCAAGUCACUUGGUCUCUUCAGUCUUCUAUCUUCAAAAUAUACCUUUACCCCGAUAUAACGCAACACUAUGUAACAUGGAUCUGGAUAUAAUGCGGUAAAGGGGGGC